rnacentral:rRNA from 1 species
UACGUAGGGUCCGAGCGUUGUCCGGAGUUACUGGGCGUAAAGCGCGCGCAGGCGGCCCGCGAGGUGUCACGUGAAAGCCCCGGGCUCAACUCGGGAGGGUCGUGGCAAACCGGCGGGCUUGAGGCCGGUAGAGGUGGGUGGAACUCCUGGUGGAGUGGUGAAAUGCGUAGAGAUCAGGAAGAACACCCGUGGCUAAGGCGGCUCUCUAGUACGGUACUGACGCUGAGACGCGAAAGCGUGGGGAGCGAACAGG